CAAAAGGGCAGAUCGUUCUGUGAAGCAUGGGAUGACACUCAAGUUUUCGUCAAUGAGUUGUGAAACGCGUGAGGUGGCAGAGUCAGUACUUGAGAGAAACACAGAAGGCGGUUCCAUUGUGCUGAUUGCUACAGCAGAAUUCUGCCGCACACUGGGUGACAUCCCCACUUAAGGUCUGGCUGGCAGCAGGGAUGAGGACGCUCAGGAACCACUUGACUUGAGACGGAAAUGAUUGAAUGGAAGAAACUUCAGGAAGAAGAAGGCAAACGUGGAGCUUGGAAUGAAGUUGAGAUUUAGAUGAUGAAAAUUUGUACGUAAUGAGCGCUACAGUGGUCCGACCUCAGACUUCAAAGAAAAGGAGGGCUACAAACCAAAUGUUAAACUCAACUACACAGAUUAUGAUGGACACAUACUUAAUACAAAGGAGGCUUUCAGGUUAGCACAGAUAAUAGUAUAUCAGUUUUUUAAGAUAGGUCGCACUGUGGUGGGUAGCCUGUCCAAUGGUAGUACAUUCUUUAGAGCAGAAAAA